AAUCUAAAUGGAAUGUACUCUGCAGACGGCUAAAAACACUUAGGAAUGAAAUCUUGAGGGGCAGCAAAAUCCAUGGUGCUAUCUAUAAAUAAUUCAGAAUAAUAUGAAGGGGCUGCACUCCGACUCUUCUUCACUGAGUUCAACAGUAAUGUGGAAUCCAAUCAAUGUUUCCAACCUUGUAAAGAUGAAAUACGAAGAACGUGACUUUGAUGUGCUACGUAAUUAUACCAAGUGAGGUAUUACGCCAUUAUUAAGCGCUAAAUUCGCACAUGGAUCGCACCACCAAUGAAAAUAAGUCUUUAAGACAGAAACGCAGGAAUAUAAAACAAACGAAAUGGUGCACAAAUAAUUCCUUUCAUGAACUAAUAUUUUUUCUCUGGGUCCUGUAGAAAAAAAAAUACAAAGAUAAAACACUACUCACUACAUACCUUUUCCUUUGCUUACUAUCCAUUCUUUUUAGCAGCCUGCAGGAACUAAGAAAUUUGCCAUAAAAUACUUAGGUUAAGGUCAUUAACGACUAUGUAGAUAUAAGAAUGCUUAUGAUGUUUAUUAUGUUUUGCUGUGAGGAUAUUUAUGAAAUGAAACUAAUAUGCUGAUACUAUAAAGAUUUU